rnacentral:snRNA from 1 species
GGACUUCCUUGGCAGGGAAGAGACACCAUGAUUUUCCCAGGGUGAGGGUCACACAUUGCACUCUGGGUGAGCUGACCUUUGCGGUUUCCCCAAAUGCGGGAAACACAACUGCAAGAAUC